rnacentral:rRNA from 1 species
GGGUUGUGAGGUUAAGCGACCAAGCGUACACGGUGGAUGCCCUGGCAGUCAGAGGCGAUGAAGGACGUGCUAAUCUGCGAUAAGCGCCGGUAAGGUGAUAUGAACCGUUAUAACCGGCGAUUUCCGAAUGGGGAAACCCAGUGUGAUUCGUCACACUAUCAUUAACUGAAUCCAUAGGUUAAUGAGGCGAACCGGGGGAACUGAAACAUCUAAGUACCCCGAGGAAAAGAAAUCAACCGAGAUUCCCCCAGUAGCGGCGAGCGAACGGGGAGGAGCCCAGAGCCUGAAUCAGCAUGUGUGUUAGUGGAAGCGUCUGGAAAGGCGCGCGAUACAGGGUGACAGCCCCGUACACAAAAGCGCAUAUGCUGUGAGCUCGAUGAGUAGGGCGGGACACGUGGUAUCCUGUCUGAAUAUGGGGGGACCAUCCUCCAAGGCUAAAUACUCCUGACUGACCGAUAGUGAACCAGUACCGUGAGGGAAAGGCGAAAAGAACCCCGGCGAGGGGAGUGAAACAGAACCUGAAACCGUGUACGUACAAGCAGUGGGAGCACAGGUUUACCUGUGUGACUGCGUACCUUUUGUAUAAUGGGUCAGCGACUUAUAUUCUGUAGCAAGGUUAACCGCAUAGGGGAGCCGGAGGGAAACCGAGUCUUAACCGGGCGUUAAGUUGCAGGGUAUAGACCCGAAACCCGGUGAUCUAGCCAUGGGCAGGUUGAAGGUUGGGUAACACUAACUGGAGGACCGAACCGACUAAUGUUGAAAAAUUAGCGGAUGACCUGUGGCUGGGGGUGAAAGGCCAAUCAAACCGGGAGAUAGCUGGUUCUCCCCGAAAGCUAUUUAGGUAGCGCCUCGUGAAUUCAUCUCCGGGGGUAGAGCACUGUUUCGGCCAGGGGGCCAUCCCGGCUUACCAACCCGAUGCAAACUGCGAAUACCGGAGAAUGUUAUCACGGGAGACACACGGCGGGUGCUAACGUCCGUCGUGAAGAGGGAAACAACCCAGACCGCCAGCUAAGGUCCCAAAGUCAUGGUUAAGUGGGAAACGAUGUGGGAAGGCCCAGACAGCCAGGAUGUUGGCUUAGAAGCAGCCAUCAUUUAAAGAAAGCGUAAUAGCUCACUGGUCGAGUCGGCCUGCGCGGAAGAUGUAACGGGGCUAAACCAUGCACCGAAGCUGCGGCAGCGACGCUUAUGCGUUGUUGGGUAGGGGAGCGUUCUGUAAGCCUGCGAAGGUGGCCUGUGAGGGUUGCUGGAGGUAUCAGAAGUGCGAAUGCUGACAUAAGUAACGAUAAAGCGGGUGAAAAGCCCGCUCGCCGGAAGACCAAGGGUUCCUGUCCAACGUUAAUCGGGCAGGGUGAGUCGACCCCUAAGGCGAGGCCGAAAGGCGUAGUCGAUGGGAAACGGGUUAAUAUUCCCGUACUUGGUGUUACUGCGAAGGGGGACGGAGAAGGCUAUGUUGGCCGGGCGACGGUUGUCCCGGUUUAAGCGUGUAGGUGUGUGUUCCAGGUAAAUCCGGUUCACUUUAACACUGAGGCGUGAUGACGAGGCACUACGGUGCUGAAGCAACAAAUGCCCUGCUUCCAGGAAAAGCCUCUAAGCAUCAGGUAACAUCAAAUCGUACCCCAAACCGACACAGGUGGUCAGGUAGAGAAUACCAAGGCGCUUGAGAGAACUCGGGUGAAGGAACUAGGCAAAAUGGUGCCGUAACUUCGGGAGAAGGCACGCUGACACGUAGGUGAAGUGAUUUACUCAUGGAGCUGAAGUCAGUCGAAGAUACCAGCUGGCUGCAACUGUUUAUUAAAAACACAGCACUGUGCAAACACGAAAGUGGACGUAUACGGUGUGACGCCUGCCCGGUGCCGGAAGGUUAAUUGAUGGGGUCAGCGCAAGCGAAGCUCCUGAUCGAAGCCCCGGUAAACGGCGGCCGUAACUAUAACGGUCCUAAGGUAGCGAAAUUCCUUGUCGGGUAAGUUCCGACCUGCACGAAUGGCGUAAUGAUGGCCAGGCUGUCUCCACCCGGGACUCAGUGAAAUUGAACUCGCUGUGAAGAUGCAGUGUACCCGCGGCAAGACGGAAAGACCCCGUGAACCUUUACUAUAGCUUGACACUGAACAUUGAGCCUUGAUGUGUAGGAUAGGUGGGAGGCUUUGAAGUGUGGACGCCAGUCUGCAUGGAGCCGACCUUGAAAUACCACCCUUUAAUGUUUGAUGUUCUAACGUGGACCCGUUACCCGGGUUGCGGACAGUGUCUGGUGGGUAGUUUGACUGGGGCGGUCUCCUCCUAAAGAGUAACGGAGGAGCACGAAGGUUGGCUAAUCCUGGUCGGACAUCAGGAGGUUAGUGCAAUGGCAUAAGCCAGCUUGACUGCGAGCGUGACGGCGCGAGCAGGUGCGAAAGCAGGUCAUAGUGAUCCGGUGGUUCUGAAUGGAAGGGCCAUCGCUCAACGGAUAAAAGGUACUCCGGGGAUAACAGGCUGAUACCGCCCAAGAGUUCAUAUCGACGGCGGUGUUUGGCACCUCGAUGUCGGCUCAUCACAUCCUGGGGCUGAAGUAGGUCCCAAGGGUAUGGCUGUUCGCCAUUUAAAGUGGUACGCGAGCUGGGUUUAGAACGUCGUGAGACAGUUCGGUCCCUAUCUGCCGUGGGCGCUGGAAGAUUGAGGGGGGCUGCUCCUAGUACGAGAGGACCGGAGUGGACGCAUCACUGGUGUUCGGGUUGUCAUGCCAAUGGCACUGCCCGGUAGCUACAUGCGGAAGAGAUAAGUGCUGAAAGCAUCUAAGCACGAAACUUGCCCCGAGAUGAAUCUUCCCUGAGCCUUUAAGGCUCCUGAAGGAACGUUGAAGACGACGACGUUGAUAGGCCGGGUGUGUAAGCGCAGCGAUGCGUUGAGCUAACCGGUACUAAUGAACCGUGAGGCUUAACCUUACAACGCCGAAG